UCAUAACCCACAUGAGCGUGACAUUUUCUAGGACACAGAAGGAACUGGGAUCCUAGUCAAAGUUUUUCAACAUUGAAAUCAGCUAUACAAAACUGGAGUUUCCACUUCCAAGCAAACUGCUAGACAGCAAAAAUAAAAAAUUGAUAUUAUUGUGGUUUCUUACCUUCUAAAUAACUGCCACUAAGACAUAUACACUGUUACACGAUGCAUAAGCACUCCUUUAAGCAAAUAAAUAUGCAGAAAAUGCAGUCAAUAGAAUGUUCCAAAGUUCAACCAUUGAACCAUUGAAUAUUGAAUAGGACCACAAUUAAAAUUCUUGACUGCCUUCAGGAUAAAAAUUAACUCACAGAUGAUCGCAAUGAAAAUCAAAAUCUUCAUUGAUGUUUAACAGGCUCCACACAGCUUAAAAAUAACAGAGCGGUGUUUGAGGAGAACCUAAGCAACAGUCUACACAUGAAGCUGGAAAUGCUGGAAGGAGGCGGUGAUUGAUCCGCAGCCCGAGAGAACCGAUACAUCCGGCAAACUGUUUUUUUCCCCAGCCCACGAACAGGGAGCUGGAGCAGGAAAGGAGGAAGAGAGACGGAAUGAAAGAGGGGAAGGGAGGCGAACCUAUGAUCGUUAUUAAGAACGGAAGAAGGCAGCAUGGGGCUUUCGGAGAACAGGGUGUCAAUAGUUGCCCAUUAGAUAGAUAUUAUCAGCAGGUCGGCAUUACCUGGCAGAGGAGCACUGAGAAACGGAGCAGCAAACUGUGUUCAGAUGAGAAGAGGCAGCUUUCUAGUCAGCACAGCACCUGAGUGGAGGCAGCGUUGGAGCCAGGCGAAGAGCAGAACGAAUAAGGUCACAAGCCCUCAGGUGCUCUCUCCCCCCACCAGCAGUCCAUCAACAGCAGCGGCUAACAUCCAUGGUCCAGACAUACUGACCCUUCCUCGCACUAAGAAACCCAAUCCGGUUC